rnacentral:rRNA from 1 species
GACGAACGCUGGCGGCGCGCCUAACACAUGCAAGUCGAACGAGCGAGCGAGAGCUUGCUUUCUCGAGCGAGUGGCGAACGGGUGAGUAACGCGUGAGGAACCUGCCUCAAAGAGGGGGACAACAGUUGGAAACGACUGCUAAUACCGCAUAAGCCCACGACCCGGCAUCGGGUAGAGGGAAAAGGAGCAAUCCGCUUUGAGAUGGCCUCGCGUCCGAUUAGCUAGUUGGUGAGGUAACGGCCCACCAAGGCGACGAUCGGUAGCCGGACUGAGAGGUUGAACGGCCACAUUGGGACUGAGACACGGCCCAGACUCCUACGGGAGGCAGCAGUGGGGAAUAUUGCACAAUGGGGGAAACCCUGAUGCAGCGACGCCGCGUGGAGGAAGAAGGUCUUCGGAUUGUAAACUCCUGUUGUUGAGGAAGAUAAUGACGGUACUCAACAAGGAAAUGACGGCUAACUACGU